GGCAGGUUACCCAAGCGGCCAAAGGGAGCUGACUGUAAAUCAGUUGCGCGAGCUACGGGGGUUCGAAUCCCUCACCUGCCACCA
rnacentral:tRNA from 2 species